CUGCAAGACCAGGACAUUGCCACACAUUCUGGAGUUUACAGAUGGUAUAAUGCUGAGUUUUCCUCUACAGAUGGAAAGUUAAUCUCUAGCUUUCAAGAUUAAGGUUUUACUCUGAUUGAAAGAGAAAUUCCCAGUCAUUGCUGGUCACAAAUAGAGCCAAAUCUCUUCAUUAAGCCUUUUGAGCGCAAGAGGACCGGAUAUUCUUUGAACUGCGGCUUUCUCAUAUGUAUGAAAAUAUCAGCAAUAUUUGCCAACAAUCAUUCGAACUGCCAAUCACCUUGGAAGCCAACCUCAAGGUGUAUACUUUUCCAAGCUAUGAAUUCCUCUCUUGCAAGCAGCCAUCUGAGACAAUAUGAAGUCCCGAGUUUGAUUGAUGUCACUCCAGGCUAUGCCACAACAAAGAGAGGAGAUGGUCUUGCCAUGAUCUUCAUCAUUGUAGCCAUUUUUGUUCUCUUGGCUGUGAUUAUUAUUGUGACAGUUCAUUAUGGUCCACAGCUACACAAAGCCCAGAUCACUCUGUACCACGAACCUCUGCCCCAAGACAUGGACAAUGGGGUCCGUUUAACAAACUGGAAGAAACUUGGUUCCCAGAAAUCAUGCAGUGUGCAAUCUGCUCUGACACUGGAGAAUAAUGCUACUGGACUUAAUGUUAAAUAUGGGACUGCAAAGCCAACCAUCAUAGAAAUCACUUCUUUGUGAAAAGCCUUUGGAGAGCUUAUAAGAUUCCCAUGGAGGCUUUUCCGAUAUGGCUGAUGCGCAUGUUAAUACUCUAGUUGACAUCUGAUACCCACAAAUGGUUCAACAUUUGAUAUGAUCACUCAUCUCUUUACCAAAUUUGCGUCCAGUUGACUCCCUGAUGACCCAGCAGCAACUGAAAAUGUGUUAUGAAAAAUUCAAGAGUGAACAUGAUCAAAUAUGGACAACACUUCAGAUACAACUUGUUGCAGUGGUAACACUGAAGAAAAACUAUCUCCAUUAACACUGUGUCAAUGCAAUUUGUAUUGAUUGUAUUUUCCACCAGCAUUCCCAAUGUGCUUUCUAGAACAUUUGAUUAGUCUCCCAAGACUUAUUUGUGAAGCAUUUGAAAGAUAAAAUAAUCUACAUUGACUCCAUGAUGAACACGUAUAACAUGUUCUGUGAGUUAACAGGGUGUUUGUAAAGGUGUGACCUAGCAUGUAUAUGCCCAACUAGUAGCUAAUUCAAUCUAACUCGUACAUGUGACCAAUUGACUCCAUAAAGUAGGUACUGCAUCCUUGCCCUUGAGAGAGAAGGCUCACAAUGUUUUGUCAAACUGGAAGUUUUGAAUAACACUUUGAAUAGUG